UUAUCAUCUUUUGCACUUUUGCUGAUGUUCAUACGCGCUAAAUAAGAGUCGAGACAUUUAUUUAUGUCAUCAUGAUGAGUUGAUCAUUUAGCUAGAAAAGAAAAGACAACAAAGAAUUUUAUCUUUUGUCUCUUCUCUCUUCGAACUCAACCGACAAGGUAAAAUA
rnacentral:ribozyme from 1 species